UCGCCCGCCGCGCCCCGCGCCCGUCCCGCCGCCCCCGCCCGCUCCUACGGGAGGCAGCAGUGGGGAAUCUUCCACAAUGGGGGAAAGCCUGAUGGAGCAACGCCGCGUGGGUGAAGAAGGUCUUCGGAUCGUAAAACCCUGUUGUUAGAGAAGAAAGUGCGUGAGAGUAACUGUUCACGUUUCGACGGUAUCUAACCAGAAAGCCACGGCUAACUACGUGCCAGCAGCCGCGGUAAUACAAUCCAUAUGACUAG
rnacentral:rRNA from 1 species